CUCGGUAGAUGAAGUUGAAUCGCCUUUCGGGUUGGUUCUUUUUCAUUGCCGGUAAAUACCACCUUUUUCGUCUUCUGGCAUCAUUGUCUAGUGAAACCAAGGCUGUGUCGAUCGACAGUCCUUUUAAUCCACGAUAGCUUUCUCUCGCGAGGCAGACGUACAACUCUUCAGUAAAACAAAAAUAACUUUAGAUCUAACAUUCAGAUGGACCUCAAAUCGGUGGCAGUAGAAAAGUAACUCAAAGCUCUAUCUUGUGUCAAAAUAUGGGUUCAAUCUAACCAUGGGAAGGUCUCCAUCCAUAUCUGAAUUUCGGACGCGUAUGUGCAAUUCUGCACUUCAAAAGCUCCAUAAUCACCAAAGUUCUCUAAAACGUAUCUGAACCUGAAAAUACUCUAAAACAGACUCCAAAUACAUAUAAUAGAAUCUAAAUAGGUCAUAUAGCAUGGUCUAAAAAUGGUAAAAUCCAUGUAUAUCACCGAGCAAAUUAGUUGCACACAACUCUAUUUUUUUUUGCAGGCAAGCCAUAAAUUGACCCAUGGGACGAGAGGAGCUUAGGAAAGGCUUUUGCAGAUUUUCUGUAUUUUUGUCUAACAAGUAGGUGUGUAAAAUGUGAUAAGGUUUUGAUUUUCCGGCCGGAUCUAUAAUAUUUUUUUGGUGUACUUGAAACAUUUGUAUUAUAUGAAUAAUCCGAGUUUGUGAAAAUUUUGGGUUGCCAUGUGGUACUAAUUUUUGUUCAGGCGAACUAACACAUAUCUCAGGUUUAAAAGCCUCUGGCUAUAAAUCCGGUUACAGUUUAAUCUAAUAAAAUUUGUUACAAAACAAAAGAACUGUUCAACUGCUACACAACAAAUUAUAAUUUUAUUGCACUAUACACUACAAUUUCCAUAAAAUAAAUCACCAUUACUUUUUUUUGUAAAAUUAAAAACAAUAUUAAAACCUAAACCUAAAAAUGGUAGAAUACAAAAACCAAAAAUCAAAACUUAAAACCAAAACCACAAUAUAAAAUACCAAAACAUACCAAAAUCUACUUAAACAAUCAAUGCCUAUGUAUUUGGCCGAGAAUUAAUGUCUAAACAAGAAUAUAUAAUUUUGAAAGUACAAUAAUAUGAAAAUAUAGUAUAUAUAUAUUAUGGAAAGUCCAUUAAAAUAAAUUUGAAUAGCUGAUAGGAUGUUAAUUCAUAGUAUGAAAAUAUAUAUAGGUGAAGUCAAGUAUUUGACCAAAACAUGAUAUAAAUGGAUUGAUUUACUUUCCUUAACAAAAACUGAAUCUCGUCAAUUUGAUUAUAAAUAUGUCUUAUUUGAAAGAAAUGUAAAGCAGGCUUUUUUUAUCAAACAGUGAGAAAUAAAACUUUAAGAACUCUUACGUAUUUCAACAUAAUUAUGGCAACCAAGAAGUUUCUAUCUCUUAUAUACUUGAUGGUGUUGGUUCAGAUCUUUCUACCAAUGAUUUCAGGACAAACCAAAGAAUGUUUUCUGCAACAACCAUGUGAAAACUCACCGGCAUGCGAUGAGUUUUGUAAAUCUAAAGGAUACAUACAAGGAGGAUAUUGUCAACACUAUCUUGGCCCAAAACACAACAAUUGUUGCUGUUACCUUGUUGAUUCAGAAAAGUUUUUCAAAUUUGAUGAUACCAAUGUACUCAUUACUAAUUAGUUCAUCAUUGUAGUCAGUGCCAACCGGACUCACAUGGCACCUAUAGCGUACUAAAAAAUAAUGCCCUUUAAACAUAUUAAUUUUUACUAUAUUUCAAAUAUACUAAAAAUUAUAUCAAAUAAUAUCCUUUUAAGUGUAAUAUUCAAGUGAGGUUAUCAACCAAGGAUUCUCUAAUUACUCAAUCAAUACACUGAAGCAAAGAAAGCCAUAUGGCCACAUUGUAUAAAUCAUAAUGGAUUUGAUUCACUGUAUUUUAAGUAUAAUCAUAUCAAUCAUAUACAACACAACAAGACCUAAAUGAAUCAAACACCACUCACACAAAUUGGCCGUCUGUCUUGCGUCAACCUGGACAAUCCUUAAAACCUGCCACAUUAAAUGAGACAUAAGAAACUCUACAAUUCCUUAGUGAGGUGAAUCAUUCCACCUACACGGUUAGUCCCCAAAAAAAUAAUCCCAACAUGAUAAUGAUCCUAAGUCUUUUAAUCGAUGAUGGCUUCCUGAACCAAUCGAUCAAUUCAAUCACUCGGCCUCAUGGUCUCUGUCUGCUAGGUAUGGUCCAUUCUCGAGGGAAGCUCUUGGCAAAUUCUUUCCAUCUGUCGGCUACCUUAACCAAUCGCCUAGUCCCUCAUGGAAACCAAUCGGUUCAUUGGUCUCUCCCAAGCAUACGACUAUACCUAAGGUAUAUAUGCAUAUAGUCGGUUUGAGUAAAGUACAUGAAUGCACCCAAAAAAGUAAUACAUGCAGCCUCAUUGCCUUGUGUACCGAUCAUAAAAUACAAUCAAUCCAACAAAUAAUCCCUGAUUGACCUAAAGGCCAUGACCAUCACUCGGCCAGUAUAGACCCUCGGUUCUAUCCCUACAUCAUCACACUCACCGUAGCCAAUCAGAGAAAAUAAGAAGAAAAAUAAUAGAAUCGCAAAACACAAAGUCACCCUUUUGGUCCUUUCAACAAACAGCCCAACCGCCUCGCCUGACUGUCUCACCAGACUCUACGACCACCCACCAGAAUGGGUCGACCACUCGGUCUUAACCAUUUGCCGGUUAACCCUCUAUCUCUCGCCGAAUUCUCUCUCUCGAUUUCUUUGCUGGUUUUUGAAAAUGGAAUUACGCCAAAGGGGGAAAGUGGCAAUGUGUAUAUAUAUGCAAGGGGGUCUGGUCGAAGGGGCACCUAUGGCCAGGGCCAAACUGGUGCGAAAUUUAUUGUGACCAUUCGCCCAACCAUCGUGUCUCUUCGCCCAUGCAUCGUGACUAUUCACCCAUGCAUUUCUUCCUUUUGCCAAUGCACUCAAACCCCUUCACCCAUGACAGCCCAAUCAUACCUCUAUUCCACUAACCACCUCGGCUAAGUUCUGACCUAGCUUAACUAGCCUGACCCAAUCCACCCUAGCCUAACCGCCACACCCCUCGUUCACCACUGACCAGACCUACCAGACUAUGUACGGACCGCUCACAACUGGUCGCUACCUAGCCCGACCGCUUUAGCUGGUUAGCUAGCUGGGUCGAGCUUGUAAGCUAGCUGGGUCUAGCUGGUCAACUACAUGGUCGAGAUGAUUGAACUACACUGAGCUAACCUAAGCUUCCUAAACUAGUCUAAGCUAACUACACUUAUCCUGAGCAAAAGGAGAACUUUUCAACCCAAGCUUCCAACCCGACCUCUCGACCACCCUUAUGGAGUAUUCGGGUUGAUGGUUCAUUCGAAACCUCGCGACUACGCUUGUCCAUAGGACGUCCAUAUUAUCUUAAUCAGGACAGAGGGUAUUACAGGAGUUAAUAUCACUUCUCAUGAUAGGAGGAGCGACAUUAGGAAGCUUUUCUACAAGCGAGAAGACCUCUUUGAUUCUCUUAGAAAAGACUUCUUCAAGGUAUGUCAUUUCUUUUGAUUUUCUUGUAGUUCCUGCUUCUUUCAUUUUUGUGUUGGUGUCCGUGUCAGAAUAAUCAUCGUCUUCAGUUUUGGUUUUUGGUUUAUGCGCGUGAUAUCGGUCCCUUUGUUCGGUUUUCCAUUCAGUGGUGAACCCCGCUCAAUCGGGCUCUUCCCUAUCCGGAGUAUCCAAGAGCUACAUAGAUCGAACGCAGGUUCAGAACCUGCAUCAUUCUUUCAUGCGGGGUUGAGGGCUGAGUUUUCCUCUCGGAAAACUAGGUUCUCAGCUUUGACUGUGAUACCUUAUGUACGCUCUACUGCAGCUGAAUUGAGUACUCUUCCAUCCUCUCUUUCAAGAUUUGGAUAUUCGAGAUGAUUAAGGGAUUGGCCGUAGGGGUAUUGCUAUUUUCCCGUGCUGUAUGCAUCUUAAAAAUUUGCCCUUUGAUGGCUUUUAGCUCGGCUUGCAAUUUCGUUUCUGAUGUGGUGGCCAAAGAUUGCCCUUUCUCACUUCCGAUCAUUUUCACGUAGUCAUGGUUAUCACCCUCCUUCUAGCACCCAACUCUAAGGGUAAAGCAGGGUUCUUCGUGAUACGACAAAAAUAUGAAGUACGAUAGAAGGAACUCGAGAUAUGGAUCAAAUGUUAUGUUUCUUGAUCUAUAAAGGAGAAAAUACAACUUAUACGCCUUGAAACCCUAGUUUUAGUUUUUCGCUGCUAAUGUUGAGGUGUAGAAUAGUCGACCGAUCUCCUUCUUCUAGGUUUUAGGAAUCUCCUUUUUAGGUUCAUAUAGUCAAAACUAUAUUAGAUUCUUCUAUAUACUUAAGUACGAAAAAGUAUCCAUUUAGGAAGUUAUUCAUUUUAGUUGGAGGUUGGAGAAAUACCCGGCACAGAAGCCAAAAAUUGACGAGGUAUGAGAAUAAGGUCGGUAUCCUAUUCUAAGUUGGAGGAAUGACUUCCUCAAUUAAUUAUCCCCAACAAAACUCAUGAAAGUUUAUUAUUUUUUCUUUAAGAAGAAUUUUUUAAGAAGAAAAUUUAAUCAAAAAUCAAGAAUCAAACACAUUAUAAUUUGUCCUAAACUAUAUUAUACUAAACUAAAUUUCAUGAAUUGGAGCCUCAAAAAAUUUAAUAUAUUAAUGGGGACUACGGCAGAAGCUUUUCAUGGAAUGUUGCAUGAACAGUCCUAUAUGUAUCUACACCCUUUUCAUUAAAUGAUAUUAGCCAUUUUCACCAUGGGAAGGUUCCUCUGCAUGGAAUCUUAUCUUUAACCACAGUUUUAUUCGAAGGUGAAGUUCCAGUGGAAUGGACGGUGGCGCAUGGGUUACUCUUCCACUUGGUGUCUUACCGAAGGAGUCUUGCUUCCUCUUUUCUCAGGAGGUUUCAACAUUUUUGGAGCAUUUGUGUUUCGUGUUUCUCCAUAUCGUUGGCGAAUUCAAUGUUUAUGAAGCAGUCGUGUGUCAGCUUUAUAACUUUGGCGACGGCGUGUGUGCAUGUGUCUGCUUCUCUGUUGUUAGCGUAGAGUCUUUUAUGUCUCCGGAUAGAUUGAGUCACAGCUUCUUCCUCUUUUCCUUUUCCGGUCACCACAUUCUCUUCUUUUCAUUCUUGGAAAUCGAUUGCGACGUUUUGGUUUUUGGUUUUCGUCCCAUGUCUCUUCCUCUUGGUGCCAAGCUUUCGAUUGUUUGGUGCGCUUGGUGCCAAACUACAGUCUGUCAGACCUCUGGGUCUCAGAGGCUGAGCAUGAGUGUCUACUGGUUCUUAUAUCCCUUGUCAUUUGGAUUGCUUGGGUUUUGGUGGCACAGUGUGUAGAAUUGCAUCAUUCCAAGGGUGGAGCCUAUGUUUCUUGUUUUUCCCUAGUGGAUGUUAGUUGCAGGACUUGUGAUGCAAUGCGGCAGCCUUUCAACCCAUCUUCAUCUUUACUUUUGGUAGUGUCGAAUACAGUUACUCUUCGGUUUUGGAUCUUGGUCAAAUUUGUCUUAGGAUUUUGAUGAGUUUGUGGCACCAUCAUCGGUCUUCAUUGAGUUCAUGCUAAGAAUAGGUACCGUUAGCCCUUGUCGGGUUCUUGUAGAGAGACUUUGUGCUCAAAGCAUUUGUGGGGGACCAGGAUUCAUACAUUGUAAUGUCAUUGGGAGACUAGGGUUCUUUCUCAUUGACAUCGUCAGAUGUCCUAACCAAUUUUUUGAUUGUAGAUCAUGUUGUAUAAGAACUGGAUUUUUUUCAGUUCUAGUCUUAUUGUUAUUGUGUUGUUCUUAAAGUCUUUCCAACUUUUUAGGACUUACAUGUUAACUUGUACUAGAUCUUGACCCGAACAACCGUGCGGGUGAUCAAUUUCAUUUUUACACAUAAAUUUAUUUUUAUAUGAUUAGUUGUAUUUAAAUUUAAUAUUUACCAUAUUACUAA